rnacentral:rRNA from 1 species
CUUGGUGAUUUAACGCGAUGGCAACACCUCUUCCCAUUCCGAACAGAGCAGUUAAGCAUCGUAGUGGCGAUGGUACCCGCGCUUGCGCGGGGAGAGUAGCUAGUCGCCAAGA